rnacentral:piRNA from 1 species
UAGCAGUGUCACAAUAGAAAUUGGUCCC